UACGUAGGGUCCAAGCGUUGUCCGGAUUUAUUGGGCGUAAAGAGCUCGUAGGCGGCUCGGUAAGUCGGAUGUGAAACCUCCAGGCUCAACCUGGAGUCGCCAUCCGAUACUGCUGUGGCUUGAGUCCGGUAGGGGGAGCAUGGAAUUCCUGGUGUAGCGGUGAAAUGCGCAGAUAUCAGGAGGAACACCUAUUGCGAAGGCAGCUCGCUGGGACGUUACUGACGCUGAGACGCGAAAGCGUGGGGAGCAAACAGG
rnacentral:rRNA from 1 species